rnacentral:rRNA from 1 species
AGAUUGAACGCUGGCGGCAGGCCUAACACAUGCAAGUCGAGCGGCAGCACGGGUACUUGUACCUGGUGGCGAGCGGCGGACGGGUGAGUAAUGCCUAGGAAUCUGCCUGGUAGUGGGGGAUACGCUCGGAAACGGACGCUAAUACCGCAUACGUCCUACGGGAGAAAGCAGGGGGACCUUCGGGCCUUGCGCUAUCGAGAUGAGCCUAGGUCGAUUAGCUAGUUGGUGAGGUAUGGCUCACCGAAGGCGACGAUCCGUAACUGGUCUGAGAGGAUGAUCAGUACACGACUGGGAACUGAGAC